UACGGAGGGUGCAAGCGUUAAUCGGAAUUACUGGGCGUAAAGCGCGCGUAGGCGGCUAAGUCAGUCGGAUGUGAAAUCCCUGGGCUCAACCUGGGAACUGCAUACGAUACUGCUUGGCUAGAGUGUGGGAGAGGGUGGUGGAAUUCCCGGUGUAGCGGUGAAAUGCGUAGAUAUCAGGAGGAACACCGGUGGCGAAGGCGGGUCUCUGGGCAGUAACUGACGCUGAGGAGCGAAAGCGUGGGGAGCGAACAGG
rnacentral:rRNA from 1 species